UAAGAGGGUUUCUAGCCUGUCCCUGCAAUGUUAAAUAUAAAUAAGCAGCCAUUCCAAACGUUACAAAACAGAACAUCUUUCUCUAUUCCGUGUAAUAGAACCAAUUUGCUGCAGUAGUGUCAUUAAACGCCAAAUGCAGCUAGCAUGAAAAAUUGGAGCAGCUUGGCCAUUUUUCUCUGGUCCUGUCAUCUGAACAUGACUGCCUGCAAUAAGGAGUACCAUCAUCCAUAUGCCUUCUGUCAGCCUCCAUGACAAAUGCAACACAGUCUUUGUGCUUCCAGCAAAUAUAUAGAGAAAAAGAUAGACAAAGCCUCACUUGGUUCUGAUUUUUGGAGAGAAGGCAUUACAUAGACAAAGUAAAAAUGUAUCAUCUGCACAAUGAUCAGCAUAUUCAAUCAUUCCAGCUGGGAGCUAUUUUUCAGGAAAAGACCAGUGUGAAAUAACUGUAUGAGCUGACGCUGUACAGCUGAUGUAACAAUCAGAAUGACCAUUUCAGUCUGAGUUUAAGGGAAGACGACUGUGAAGAACACUUUGGAAAAUGCCCAUAUGAAGAUACUACUAAAGAGCAGUCAGCCAGGAACAGAAGAUGACUUAAGGCAGGAGAACUCGUGACCCACCAGGAAUGCUACCUUACUUCCAGCUGUGGAGCUGUGACCCCUCAGGAGCUGAACCAUUUAAGAAGUGCCCAGCUAUCACAGAAUCUGUCAUCUGAAUGCUGCACCCUGUCUUCAGAAGAGCUCUUUCAUUCACAAAGACACUAGCAGGGAGUCCAAGUGCCAUCUAUUUCUCUCUGUUAUCUCUUACAUGGCGGUUCCAUCUCUUCCAGUUAAUAAGGUUAAAACAGAGACUGACAGUAAAGUAACACUGAAUUAUUAAAAGUGAAACUUCAGUUAUUGUUAUUCCAGAGCUUCUGCUAAAUGUGCCAUCUUCUCCUCUAGACUUCAUUUCAGGGGAAAGACUCGACAUGCUUGGAGAAUAGCAUCACUGCACUCCCACUGCACAUCCCUGUCCAAACCUUCUCAUCCAACAAAAUGAAUACAAAUACUCAUGAAAGAGGCCAUAAUAAUUUCGAUAAAGAAAUAGAGAAUUAGCAGUAAAUGACAGUCAGCGAUGCACAGCACAGGGAGUGCUAAUAUAUUUUAUUAAAAAUAUUAUUAGCACGCUACUUUAGGGUUAAAAGGUGUCUCUCAGUAGAUUUCAAAUGCUCCUACCCCUCUCGGAUUUCCUUGAGCUCAAAACUUCCCAUAUCUCACUCAUUUCCCCUCUCAGUAGUUUUCCUGCCUGUUCGUACUUCCUGCAAGAAGGUCCUCAGGGCUCCCCUUCCAACAUGGCCAUUUCUAUCUGUGGCAGGUUUUCAGAAGAACAGUGUUUGUGGUCUGUUCAUGUAACAAUCCAUACAUCUAUGCAAAAAUAAGUCCCCCAUAACAGCAACACCACAUGUCUGGGAAAUGUGGAAUACCUAUCUGUCGGUACAUCCCAUCUCCUCACUUGCCCAGGCUGCCUUUAGGGUCUUCUUAACCCUGCCCUCUUCAGCAGGCCCUCAGGUAAAUGAGACACUUGCAGGGAUGGUGUUACAGAAGCAGUAAACAAAGUUUUCCAUUACUUCAACCAUAAAGAUAUAUGAAACUCUUAAAAACCAACGCAUGGAUUUGGAAUUAAUAACUAAGUUUAUGAUCGACUCUGAGUGGUCCGACUCUCUUCAAAGUAUCAAUAAACUCCUGCCAGUUUUAAAUUCUGUACGUCUAAAUAAAAACAUAUACUUUUCCCAUAGGUUUCAGCUGGGAGUGGGCAGUCUAUACCAUCAUAAGGGGCUGGUUUGCUCUUCUGAAGAGCCAAAAGAAAACUGGUUUGCUGGUUUUUAAACAACCCGAUGGUUCCUUCCCAAAUACACAGAACAGAGUUUUCUGCAGGAUGCCUCUGCUCAAUCCUAUAGAGCAAAAGGAAUUAAAAUGUAUGAGGCUAAAAGUGGAGAUUAACCAUAAUCUAAACAGAGCUCAAAUUAAAUGAUUCUCUUGUUUUUUUAUUGUUAAUAAAGGCAAGGUGGAAUGCCAGAGCCAUGGCGGGUACUCCUGGGAGAUCAUUAUAAAGAAUAUGCAAAGAGGUAUUCGAGGUAACAUACUUUAGGCCCAUGAAUGUGGAAGGAUCGAUAGUACUGGAUAUGCAGAUGUUUUAAGGGACAGAAAAUGAAAACAAUGGCACCUUAUUUUUGUUGUUAAAUACAAAAUUCUCAUUUCCAGAUCAUUUCUUCCUACUGGAAGGAAAACACAACACCAAUCCAGAUUUCUGACUUAAAAAAAAAAAAGAAAGAAAGAAAAAAAGAUCUGAUAAAACCAUUUUUUUUAAUUUCACACUUAAACCUUCCUAUAAAGUAUGGGCAAAUACUGUCAGUUAAGUGUCCCUUCAUCAAAAAACAAACACACUGCUGAGACUGAUGUAACAGUUCUUACCAUCUAUUUGGUAUUCACAUGCAAAUAAAUAAAAAAUAAAAAGAAUCAGACAUCAAACCCUCUGCUGCGACCCACAGCUCACAGCCACGUUUUCCCCUUUCUGUCCAACACAAACCAUGUAAUACUCAUCACCAUUGUAAACUGUUACGGCAGAUCUGCAAAAUGCCAAAGUUAGGCUGACUGGAAAUUCUACUAGUACACAAAAUACCUUUACAAUAUAUUACACCUUCCUACUUUGAUUAAACUUAUUACUUCAUAUUUCAAGCAGAUGUAAAUAUUCCCCUAGUGGGAAAAUAUUGUCUAUUUGUAUAAGACUUAAUGACAUAAAGUAAAUUGCGCUGUUGGUUUGAGUUAGACAUGCAAUACACUUCAGUAAUGUGCUAUUUCCUUCUGUAUAUGAUGCAAUUCUAAGGAAAACAUGAUUAAAAAAAAUUGCUUGAGAUUUCCGUUUAUUGCUUUAAAGGUUAUUACUCACAUCAGCAUUCUACUAUUUUUCCCCUCAUCAAUUUCCAUUAUCAUUUUGAUUCAGAGUAAUUCUCUCCUUGUAGGUUUGCCCAACAGAUUUUAAGUGAAUAUAGUACUCUGAUUAAAAAGAAAGCAGAAUAAAAUAGAGGCCUGCUGAUUCAAAAUAUUAUGAAAGAUAGUUCAGUUAACAUGAGCCUUGUUUCACAUUUUCAUUGAAAGACAUUUUCCUCUGAAACCUCUACAUGCAGUCCUCUUCUGUCGUUACCAUAAGUUAACUUCUCCCAGCAAUUAUUCCUGUCUAUUCGAAACUAUACAGUGAGAUGCAACCCAUGCUUUCCUUUCCAAUGCUCAUUUUCCAACAUAGCAAAGAAUGUUUGCCUUUCUAACAAAAGAAUAUUAGAUAUACGAAUGCCAAGCAAAGUGCAGUACAGGAGAAACACAGAAAUUAGAGCUGCUUGUGAUUAGUGGGUAAUUCAGACUUCCAAAACACCUGCUGAAGUCAGAGUGGCUGUCCCACGUGUGUUGUACCACUUGUUCACCUAAAACUGGUUUCUGUGCAAAGCAACUGAAUGAACUGAGGGCCCUCUGAUGAGAAACUAUUUUCUACAAAGACAAAAUAUUCUAUGAUGCUUUUAAAACAAGGCCAGUAAGAAUAGCUCUUUACACUUACUUCCAUUUUUCCUUACAUACUAAUUACUAUUCCAGACAAGAUUUUAGGAUAACAAUAUUUUAAGCAGAGAUGUCUCAUUUUUCACUUGCUGAGUCUUGCCUAGCAGAUUUUCACUGAGUUUAGUCUGACUAGAAUUAAUUUCUUAUUCUAGCUGCUUAUUCAUGCAGUUUUUACUCCUUUCUGCUCGGCUGCCUUGAGUAAGGAACUCCAACAGUACUGAAUGUCUGAAUGUACAGCAAAAUAAAGGUGUACUGUCGCCAUAUCGCUGUAUAUUGCUCAUUACUUGAUGGACUAACAACACAAAGUAUCUACUGCAGAUACUCGAAGCAUA
rnacentral:lncRNA from 1 species